AUUGAACGCUGGCGGCAGGCCUAACACAUGCAAGUCGAACGAGUGGCGGACGGGUGAGUAAUGUCUGGGAAACUGCCUGAUGGAGGGGGAUAACUACUGGAAACGGUAGCUAAUACCGCAUACCAUCAGAUGUGCCCAGAUGGGAUUGGCUAGUUGGUGGGGUAACGGCUCCACAAGGCGACGAUCCCUAGCUGGUCUGAGAGGAUGACCAGCCACACUGGAACAGAGCCACAGUCCAGACUCGCUCGUGAGGCAGCAGGGGGGAAUAUGGCACAGUGGGCGCAAGCUUGAGGCAGUCAUGCCGCGUGUAUGAAGGCGGCCUUCGGGUUGUAAGGUACUUUCGGCGGGGAGGCGUUACCCGCAGAGGAAGCACCGGCUAACUCCGUGCCAGCAGCCGCGGUAAUUC
rnacentral:rRNA from 1 species